GUUAAAUAAUAUUCUUGCAUGACCAGAAAGUUUAGGUUUGUAUAAAUAUUUAAAAUGCAUUUAUAAAUUGAUUUCAAUAAAAGUUUUCAAUAAAGGGUAAGGCUUAUUCAUUUUAUUUUAUAGGUUGUGUGUGUUUUGUUGUUUUCUUUCUUUCUUUUGUUUUUGUUUUGUUUUUUCAUUUUCUUUGUUUUUGGAAAAUUAGCUUUCAGGUUACCAUCAUAACUUCACUUGGUGUUGCACCUAUAGAAAACAACCACGAAGAAAUGUUCCAUUCAGCAGGCCAAUCACAACUCACAUUUCCUUUAACGGAAAAUGUUCAUGUGUCAUGACAUCUGUUAAUAGGACGUGUUGCUGUCUUCUAACUCCAAGUUAUCGUCAUUAGACAUGGACGGGGUGCAUGCAUUUCUGGUUGUUCUUUUCGGAGCUUUAUCUUCGAGUCAAGAUCUGAGAAAUGAAUCAGUGAUAGAGAUGAGAGUGAGACCAGGAGAAAACAUCACUCUCUACUGUGAUUGUAAAUCAUCAGUUGGAGUAUACAU
ensembl:lncRNA